UCAUAACACGUGAGGCGAGCUGAC
rnacentral:siRNA from 1 species